GAUGUACGCUGGCGGCGUGCCUAAUACAUGCAAGUCGAGCGAACGGACGAGAAGCUUGCUUCUCUGAUGUUAGCGGCGGACGGGUGAGUAACACGUGGAUAACCUACCUAUAAGACUGGGAUAACUUCGGGAAACCGGAGCUAAUACCGGAUAAUAUUUUGAACCGCAUGGUUCAAAAGUGAAAGACGGUCUUGCUGUCACUUAUAGACGGAUCCGCGCUGCAUUAGCUAGUUGGUAAGGUAACGGCUUACCAAGGCAACGAUGCAUAGCCGACCUGAGAGGGUGAUCGGCCACACUGGAACUGAGACACGGUCCAGACUCCUACGGGAGGCAGCAGUAGGGAAUCUUCCGCAAUGGGCGAAAGCCUGACGGAGCAACGCCGCGUGAGUGAUGAAGGUCUUCGGAUCGUAAAACUCUGUUAUUAGGGAAGAACAUAUGUGUAAGUAACUGUGCACAUCUUGACGGUACCUAAUCAGAAAGCCACGGCUAACUACGUG
rnacentral:rRNA from 1 species